UUCCUUGGAUUCUCAUGCAGACAUUAUUCUUUUGUUUUCAACCUUUUGACCUGGACAUGUCCUGUGUGUUCCAAAAGUAAAGCAGUGAAAAAGAACAACUGCUUAAAGAGUUUUCAGAUUUGGGAAUACAUCAAUUUUCGCUGAAAUCAAUGCUAUCUUUUGGAAGUGAAAGGGCUAUUUUGACUUUCUUAAGGACCACUGGACUUUAUUCGAGAAUUGAAGUCAAAGUGAAUCAAUUCAUUGGAAUUCCGGCUGAGGACAUCAUUUUGCCUUGUAGCAUAGCCUGCUGGAAAUUCAGAAGAAGAAGAAGAAGACAUGUAUCUACCUAUCUUCCUGUUACCUGUGGACCUGCCUGCCUGCACCUGCACCCACCUGCCAAUCUCCAUCGGCGUCAAAAUUCCUCAUCCUUCCCCUCCCAGUUUGACUCACCACGACCAGUCACUGUGAAACAAUGAGGUGGCCUACUUCCCCUCUCAUCUGCAUUGCAACUGAAAAAGCUCAACCAUCCAACCAAGAACACGCUGAAGGAAUCUACAG